rnacentral:misc_RNA from 1 species
AAAAAAAAAAGAAAAAAAAAAGGGAAUUCAGCAAAACUUUCUCCCAGUUUCCUCUUCUUCAGGUUGGUGCUACGGUAGGGAUAGCACAAUGUGCACAAGGGGAGAAAUUAAACAUGUUUCAAAUGUUGGCACUAAUGUUUGCCACCCAGCAUCAUUCACAGAAAUUAAAUGUUUAUGAAGCUGUGAAAAUAUAGACUGAGGUGCUGCUCUAUGAUGCACGGAAACUUCAAGGGGUGGCGUUUCCCCGUGUCGAAAACGUUUCCGACACAGAAACAGCGAGACACGGCUGGGAGGCGUUUUGGGGCCAUUUCCGCAAUUUUCAGAAGCCAGAAACGCGUUUCUUGAGUUGGAAACACAUUUCUUAAAAAAAAAAAAAGUUUAACACAGACUGAGUCAACCUGGGAAUCGCGAAGAAGAAGAAGAAGAGGGACUUACCUGGCAAUCAUGCAAUGACGAAUCCAUUAGCUUUUCUUUUACAUGUUCUGCCUCUUACUGGUUUUUAUAUUGGGUUUUGAAUCUUAAAUUGUUAAUCAAUGGUUGGAUUUUGUGGGUUUUUGAUGCAAAUAUUUUCUGGUGGACUCCGAUCUGGUUUCCCGAUCAUGCGAAGGAUAAAUAAAGGGUGAAGGUACAUAAUACAUGCCAUUCCACUGUAUGAUUGUGAGGCUUUUGUUAAAAAUAGCAACUUUAAUAAUAUCUAUAUAUUAAGCAUAUUUGUUUAUGACUAUAAAAGUUUGGAUUUCAUAAUUUUUUAUUAUAUUUAAGAUAAAUAAAAAAUAUUACAAAUGAAAAUUCAUUUAAAGUAGAUUGAAUUCAAUUCAUAAAUGAAUUAAUAAUUCAUAUUGAGUAGUAUUAAAAUAUUUUUAUUUUUAUUAACAAUAAAAAUUGUAAAAGUAAAUGAGUAAAUAGAAGCAUAUGACAAA